AUUUUAACCAUGCAUGUGCUUCUGGGUGAAUGCAGAUGGACAUCUGAUUUUAGUUCUCCAAAUAGAAAGUGGUUCUUCCUAUCAAAAGGGAGAGUUCAGCUCUUGCAAAGAUGGCGAAUUAACCUUGGCAGUCAGAUGGGAGAGUCAGAGAGCUGCUGCCCCAGCAAGCCAGGCUGUGGGUGAAAAAGCAAGUCCAUAAAGGCCUGAAACAGGAAGCAAGUAUCCCAACUGCAAGGGACAAGAACAGCAUGGAUCACCCAGAAAAGGAGCACUUCUAGGGUUGGCAUGCUGCCCGGCCGCCUUCGAGAGGGUAAACCCACAGGAUAUUCAAGUUUGUUGUAAAGGUCUCAUCUUAGAUUAUGAGUUCAGUUUUCAACAAAACUUUUUGUGAUUGCCUUAGUCUGUUUUGUCCAACAAGACACCUGAGGAUGAGUAAUUUAUAAAGAAAAGAAGUGUAUUUGGUUCUUGAUUCUUGUGGCUGGAAAGUUCAAAAUUGGACAGCUGCAUCUGGUGAGGGUCUCAAGCUGCUUCAACUCAUGGUGGCAAGCAGAAGGGGAGCAGGCAUAGGCGCAAAGAGACUGCAUGGAAAGAGAGGAUGCAAGAGAAACAGGAAGCCAGACUCUUUUUAACAAUCCACUUUUGGGGAAACUAAUCCAUUCCCUGAAGAACUCACUUACCUCUUCAUGGGAGGGCAUUAAUGUUUAUGAGAGAUCUGCCCCUGUGACCCAAAUACCUCCCACUAGGCUCCACCUCCCAUCACGGUGACAUUGGGGAUCAAAUUUCAACAUGAGUUUUGGCAGGUACAGACCAUAUCCAAACCAUAGCAGUGACCUGCAUUAAGUCCAGUGUCAAAGAAACCCUUUAAGGUGUUAUAUGCGGAAAUGUAGACAUGGUUCAUCCGGGAUGAACAAGAAACCUUUUCUCAAAAGAACGAAACCAGAUACGUAGUCUUCUUUACUGAGCUAGGUAAAGCCUGUUUGGUCUGGAUGUGCUACAUGUGAUUCUAGCAGGUGUCAAUAAUCAUAUAUGUUGUCCUGAAUGAAACAGUUAAAUAAUCAUAUUUGGGUUGUGCAGGAUUCAUCAUGAUUUUGUGAGAAAGAAAUGAAUAAAAAAAUUGAGAGCUGAGAUUU
rnacentral:lncRNA from 1 species